rnacentral:rRNA from 1 species
UACGGAGGGUGCGAGCGUUAUUCGGAAUUAUUGGGCGUAAAGCGCGUGUAGGCGGCUAUUUAAGUCUGAUGUGAAAGCCCGGGGCUCAACCUGGGAAUUGCGAUGGAGACUGCAAGGCUUGAAUCUGGCAGAGGGGGGUAGAAUUCCACGUGUAGCAGUGAAAUGCGUAGAUAUUCGAAGGAACACCGGUGGCGAAGGCGGCUACCUGGACCGAUACUGACGCUGAGACGCGAAAGCGUGGGGAGCAAACAGG